GGAUGUGUAGCUCAGUUGGUUAGAGCGCUUCGUUCACAUCGAAGAGGUCGUUGGUUCGAGUCCAAUCUCAUCCACCA
rnacentral:tRNA from 3 species